rnacentral:misc_RNA from 1 species
GUCCAGGUAGACCAAACAUUCAAAAUGGCGUCUGGUAAAGGCGCAGGUAAACAAUAUCGAGAGAAGGGUGAGGGUUAUAUGUACUGGGUUGCCUUCCUUUGUUCAAUUUGUUCACUAGUUUUAGUCUUCGUUGCUUUCGCCUCCCCCUUUUGGUACAAAUCAUGGAGCCGAGUCCACAGUCCCCUGGCCAAUGUCGGGAUGUGGCACAUUUGUCUGUCGGGAUGGGUAAAGCCCCGGGACCCCAUGAUGAGAUCAUACGUAGGCUGCUGGUGGAUACAUUCCACGUUUUUUGAAGAAGUUUGGGACGACAUCAUGCCAGCCUGGUUCCGAGUUGUACAGACCGUGGUGGUGUUGACCCUGAUAGUAAACAUUGUUACUGUGGGCAUGCUGUCAUUCUAUCUGGUGGACAGAUUCAGGAUCAAAUACUACAACCCAAACCGAUACAGGGCCUUCAUGAUCAACUCAGUCCUCAUGUUUGUGUCAGGUAAGCUGGUACACACAUCUACAGUUUACUGUUAGAACUUGAUGUACUGCAAUGAAUCUCAUUUUCUGUGAAUACAUGUACAAUGUAUACUAUUAAUGAAAUUUAUAUAAAAGGCAAGUUCCAAGAUACUCAGCAUUGUCUAAGAAACACAAUGAAUUUUAUCAUCAUAUCUCUCUCCCUCUCUCUGUGUAGGUGUGUUUGUGCUGAUUGUGGCUCUGAUGUUCCCGAUGUAUGCCAAAGAUCCGACCUGGAUGCCCCGCCCCUGGCUCAACUACCUGUCCUGGUCCUAUGGAUUCUUUGUCCUGUCCGGAUUCUUUGCUGUAUUCUCUGGAAUCUCUCUGUUUUUGAAAUCAACAGAGAUCCAUCACAAGCCAGACAAAGGAACCAUGGAAAUAGAGAAGAAACUCGAGCUUCCCCACCUUCCAACAGGAAUGGCACCACCCAUGAGACCCCCUCAUUAUGAACCUAGCGAGCAAGGUGGUAGGAGUGUGGGAGGUUACAGCAUUGGACAAACCAGCUUAGGGCAGGCAAGCAUGGGAAAAGCCAGCAUGGGACAGGCCAGCAUGGGCGCAGUCAGUCAAGGGGGUCAGAGCAAGCACUCAGAGUCUUUUGUAUAGUCCAGACGUUGGAGAGCUUCAAAAAUGUCAUUAGUCAGAACAUUCCAGUUUCCUUACACAGAUCAUUUGAUGUAAUAAACCGAACGAACAUCUUAUGCAGUGAUAUUUGCAUAUGAAACAUUUCAACAAUAUUCCGCUAUUUGACUUUUUCCAGUUUCAAUUCCUUAUUUGGAAAUUUCAAAAAAUUCUGUGUCAUUAUUUUUGCUAUGCAAUAUAAACAUGACCGGUAGAAUAAUAUUUGGGUUAAGGAACCAAAUUCUUCCUAUUAAAUUAUUGUAGUGAUAAUCUUGUAUAUUGUUGGAGAUAUCUACAAUAUCUUGUGCCAUGUCAUCCAGAGGUUGUACAAAGGAUGCUAAGUUCUUAUAGACUCUCAGCAUUGUGUAUAUACUCUACUUGUAUAUAUAGUGGGCAGUGAACUCAUAUCAGUGCAUUUUUUUAUUCAUUUAAAUUAUCAUUUAUAUUCAUGAUUCAUUAGAAAAUUUUCAUCUUUGUAUAUAAAUCAGAUCAAUUUGUAGAAUAUUCUAAUCACAUAAUUUUUAUAUUAUUGUACAUGCAUUCAUAUAUAUUUUAUACAUGAAACUGUAAUUUGAAAUAAACAUGUAUGUA